rnacentral:rRNA from 1 species
GGAUUAGAUACCCUGGUAGUCCACGCCGUAAACGAUGUCUGCUAGUUGUCAGCCUUUCGGGGUUGGUGACGGAGCGAAAGUAUUAAGCAGACCGCCUGGGGAGUACGGCCGCAAGGUUAAAACUCAAGGGAAUUGACGGGGACCCGCACAAGCGGUGGAGCAUGUUCUUUAAUUCGAAGCAACGCGAAGAACCUUACCUACACUUGACAUCCUUCUUGGGACUUUCAGAGAUGAUUGUCUUCGGUUCGGCCGGGGAAGUGACAGGUGCUGCAUGGCUGUCGUCAGCUCGUGCCG